rnacentral:rRNA from 1 species
GAUGAACGCUGGCGGCGUGCCUAAUACAUGCAAGUCGAGCGAACGGACGAGAAGCUUGCUUCUCUGAUGUUAGCGGCGGACGGGUGAGUAACACGUGGAUAACCUACCUAUAAGACUGGGAUAACUUCGGGAAACCGGAGCUAAUACCGGAUAAUAUUUUGAACCGCAUGGUUCAAAAGUGAAAGACGGUCUCGCUGUCACUUAUAGAUGGAUCCGCGCUGCAUUAGCUAGUUGGUAAGGUAACGGCUUACCAAGGCAACGAUGCAUAGCCGACCUGAGAGGGUGAUCGGCCACACUGGAACUGAGACACGGUCCAGACUCCUACGGGAGGCAGCAGUAGGGAAUCUUCCGCAAAGGGCGAAAGCCUGACGGAGCAACGCCGCGUGAGUGAUGAAGGUCUUCGGAUCGUAAAACUCUGUUAUUAGGGAAGAACAUAUGUGUAAGUAACUGUGCACAUCUUGACGGUACCUAAUCAGAAAGCCACGGCUAACUACGUG